UACAGAGGGUGCGAGCGUUGUUCGGAAUCAUUGGGCGUAAAGCGCUUGUAGGCGGCCUGUCAAGUCGCGUGUGAAAUCCCUUGGCUUAACCAAGGAAGUGCGCGCGAAACUGGCGGGCUUGAGUGCCGGAGAGGGUCGCGGAAUUCCCGGUGUAGAGGUGAAAUUCGUAGAUAUCGGGAGGAACACCAGUGGCGAAGGCGGGCGACCUGGACGGAGCACUGACGCGAGACGC
rnacentral:rRNA from 1 species